CUCAAAGGAAUUGACGGGGGCCCGCACAAGCGGUGGAGCGUGUGGUUUAAUUCGAUGAUACGCGAGGAACCUUACCAGGGCUUAAAUGCAGUCCGACAGUCCCCGAAAGGGGGCCUUCUUCGGACGGAUUGCAAGGUGCUGCAUGGUUGUCGUCAGCUCGUGCCGUGAGGUGUCAGGUUAAGUCCUAUAACGAGCGCAACCCCUGCCGCUAGUUGCCAGCAUGUAAAGAUGGGAACUCUAGCGGGACUGCCGGUGCAAACCGCGAGGAAGGUGGGGAUGACGUCAAAUCAUCACGGCCCUUACGUCCUGGGCCACACACGUGCUACAAUGGCCGGCACAAUGGGCAGCCACCCCGCGAGGGGGAGCGAAUCCACAAAACCGGUCUCAGUUCGGAUCGGGGUCUGCAACUCGACCCCGUGAAGCUGGAAUCGCUAGUAAUCGGAUAUCAGCCAUGAUCCGGUGAAUACGUUCCCGGGCCUUGUACACACCGCCCGUCAAGC
rnacentral:rRNA from 1 species